GCCGCUGGAGGUGCCCGAGCCGUCUCCCCCUUGCCCGCAGGGCCGGAGUUGCCCACCGCCGGGAGCUGACAGGUCCGUGCUGGAGAGCGGGAGAAGGGUCCCUGCUGGCUGCCGUGUCCUGGGUGGGCACAGAGCUCUGACCUUGGCCAGAUGGGCUGGUUUCCGGGUGUUUUGAUCCUGAC